rnacentral:rRNA from 1 species
UUUAUGGAGAGUUUGAUCCUGGCUCAGGAUGAACGCUGGCGGCGUGCCUAAUACAUGCAAGUCGAGCGAACAGAUAAGGAGCUUGCUCCUUUGACGUUAGCGGCGGACGGGUGAGUAACACGUGGGUAACCUACCUAUAAGACUGGAAUAACUCCGGGAAACCGGGGCUAAUGCCGGAUAACAUGUUGAACCGCAUGGUUCUACAGUGAAAGACG